rnacentral:rRNA from 1 species
UGAGGAAUAUUGGUCAAUGGGCGCAAGCCUGAACCAGCCAUCCCGCGUGCAGGAAGACGGCGCUAUGCGUUGUAAACUGCUUUUCCAGGGAGAGAAACUUGCGCACGUGUUGCGCAAUUGACGGUACCCUGGGAAUAAGCAUCGGCUAACUCCGUGCCAGCAGCCGCGGUAAUACGGAGGAUGCGAGCGUUAUCCGGAUUCAUUGGGUUUAAAGGGUGCGUAGGCGGACUAUUAAGUCAGUGGUGAAAUCCUGCAGCUUAACUGCAGAACUGCCAUUGAUACUGAUAGCCUUGAGUUUGUUUAAGGUAGGCGGAAUGUGUAAUGUAGCGGUGAAAUGCUUUGAUAUUACACAGAACACCAAUUGCGUAGGCAGCUUACUGAGCCGACACUGACGCUGAGGCACGGAAGCGUGGGGAUCGAACAG